AGGAUAAACGCUGGCGGCGUGCCUAACACAUGCAAGUCGAACGUCCUACGCAAGUAGGGAGUGGCGGACGGGUGAGCAACACGUGGGCAAUCUACCUUUCGGUGAGGAAUACCGGCGAGAAAUCGCCGACAAUACCGCAUACGCUUCGCAAGAAGCAAAGUCGCAAGACGCCGGAGGAGGAGCCUGCGCCCGAUUAGCUGGUUGGUGGAGUAAUGGUCUACCAAGGCGACGACGGGUA
rnacentral:rRNA from 1 species